rnacentral:ncRNA from 1 species
CUUUCGUCGGUACGGUAUUUGCCUACCGAGGUUCUUACGGGUGACGGGGAAUCAGGGUUCGAUUCCGGAGAGGGAGCCUGAGAAACGGCUACUACAUCCAAGGAAGGCAGCAGGCGCGCAAAUUACCCAUUCCCGACGCGGGGAGGUAGUGACGAAAAAUAACAAUGCAGGACUCGUUCGAGGCCCUGUAAUUGGAAUGAGUACACUUUAAAAGCUUUAACGAGUAUCCAUUGGAGGGCAAGUCUGGUGCCAGCAGCCGCGGUAAUUCCAGCUCCAAAAGUAUAUAUUUAAGUUGUUGCGGUUAAAAAGCUCGUAGUUGGAUUUUGGGCGCAGGCGGCCGGUCCGUCGCAAGGCGUGUACUGGACGUCCUGGCCUUCCCUCCGGUUCUCCGCCGGUGCUCUUGACUGAGUGUCGGCGGCGGCCGGAACGUUUACUUUGAAAAAAUUAGAGUGUUCAAAGCAGGCUCUCGAGCCUGGAUAAUGGUGCAUGGAAUAAUGGAAUAGGACCUCGGUUCUAUUUUGUUGGUUUUCGGAGCGCGAGGUAAUGAUUAAGAGGGACAGACGGGGGCAUUCGUACUGUGCCGUUAGAGGUGAAAUUCUUGGAUCGGCGCAAGACGAACGACUGCGAAAGCAUUUGCCAAGAAUGUUUUCUUUAAUCAAGAGCGAAAGUCAGAGGUUCGAAGACGAUCAGAUACCGUCCUAGUUCUGACUAUAAACGAUGCCAACUAGCGAUCGGGGGGCGUUACAUUGACGACCCCUCCGGCAGCUUACGG